rnacentral:lncRNA from 1 species
AAAAAACUUGAAAAAAAAGAAGUAAGGGUCUUCAGAGUCAAAAACAGUUGGAAAUUUUCUUCUCCUAGUUUCAGAAAUCAUUUCGAGUGUUUGAAGUGUUAGUUGCCUGAGAGUUUUUAUCAGUUUUUAGGCAGUUGAAAAAGAGUCCAAAAAAAUCAGUUUUGUGAAUUCUUCCUUGAGAACGUCUUUUGAAAGCUUAGACCUAGUCUGCUUGAAGUAUAAGUGGGGCAUUUCUCCUUUAAGUUCUAGCUUUAGAAGUUCAUUUGGGUCUAUUUGGGUAGUGAUUGUUGCUGUGAGGUUUUACAAUGCAGUUUGGUUUUGGUUUUGGUGUAUCUCUGGUUUGAAGUUGCUAUUGUUGUUGGUUUACAAUUGGUGCUGGGUCAUUUCUGGACUGUUAUUUCUCUUCAUUUGUUGCGGUGGAAUUUUUUCUGUUUGGAUUCUGAUUUGGUGCUGCUGUCCUGCUGUUGUUCUUUGCUGUGCUAUACUGCUGCUGACUUCCUCUUUAUUCUUCUGAUCACUCCAAUCCAGGUACAAACACUAUUUGGUCACAAUGUAGCUGAACACUUGAAGCAUGAAUAAAAGGGCUGUAAAGCUCGAAGCCAUUUAGCCUUUUUAUUUAAAUUUAUUUGUACAUCAGUUAGUAGUUCAGUAAAAUAAUGUAAGCAUCCGGAAAUGUAUGUAUUAGCCUCGAUCUGUAAUAGCUUAAAUUUGCAAGUCCAAAUCCGU